rnacentral:rRNA from 1 species
UUUUAAUGAGAGUUUGAUCCUGGCUCAGGACGAACGCUGGCGGCGUGCCUAAUACAUGCAAGUAGAACGCUGAUGUUUGGUGUUUACACUAGACUGAUGAGUUGCGAACGGGUGAGUAACGCGUAGGUAACCUGCCUCAUAGCGGGGGAUAACUAUUGGAAACGAUAGCUAAUACCGCAUAAGAGUGAUUAACACAUGUUAGUUAUUUAAAAGGAGCAAUUGCUUCACUGUGAGAUGGACCUGCGUUGUAUUAGCUAGUUGGUGAGGUAAAGGCUCACCAAGGCGACGAUACAUAGCCGACCUGAGAGGGUGAUCGGCCACACUGGGACUGAGACACGGCCCAGACUCCUACGGGAGGC